GGUUAAGCGACUAAGCGUACACGGUGGAUGCCCUGGCAGUCAGAGGCGAUGAAGGACGUGCUAAUCUGCGAAAAGCGUCGGUAAGGUGAUAUGAACCGUUAUAGCCGGCGAUGUCCGAAUGGGGAAACCCAGUGCAAUUCGUUGCACUAUCGUUAACUGAAUACAUAGGUUAACGAGGCGAACCGGGGGAACUGAAACAUCUAAGUACCCCGAGGAAAAGAAAUCAACCGAGAUUCCCCCAGUAGCGGCGAGCGAACGGGGAGCAGCCCAGAGUCUGAAUCAGCUUGUGUGUUAGUGGAACGGUCUGGAAAGUCCGACGGUACAGGGUGAUAGUCCCGUACACCAAAAUGCACAGGUUGUGAACUCGAAGAGUAGGGCGGGACACGUGGUAUCCUGUCUGAAUAUGGGGGGACCAUCCUCCAAGGCUAAAUACUCCUGACUGACCGAUAGUGAACCAGUACCGUGAGGGAAAGGCGAAAAGAACCCCGGCGAGGGGAGUGAAAAAGAACCUGAAACCGUGUACGUACAAGCAGUGGGAGCACCUUCGGGUGUGACUGCGUACCUUUUGUAUAAUGGGUCAGCGACUUAUAUUCUGUAGCAAGGUUAACCGUAUAGGGGAGCCGCAGGGAAACCGAGUCUUAACUGGGCGUUAAGUUGCAGGGUAUAGACCCGAAACCCGGUGAUCUAGCCAUGGGCAGGUUGAAGGUUGGGUAACACUAACUGGAGGACCGAACCGACUAAUGUUGAAAAAUUAGCGGAUGACUUGUGGCUGGGGGUGAAAGGCCAAUCAAACCGGGAGAUAGCUGGUUCUCCCCGAAAGCUAUUUAGGUAGCGCCUCGUGAACUCAUCUUCGGGGGUAGAGCACUGUUUCGGCUAGGGGGUCAUCCCGACUUACCAACCCGAUGCAAACUACGAAUACCGAAGAAUGUUAUCACGGGAGACACACGGCGGGUGCUAACGUCCGUCGUGAAGAGGGAAACAACCCAGACCGCCAGCUAAGGUCCCAAAGUCAUGGUUAAGUGGGAAACGAUGUGGGAAGGCACAGACAGCCAGGAUGUUGGCUUAGAAGCAGCCAUCAUUUAAAGAAAGCGUAAUAGCUCACUGGUCGAGUCGGCCUGCGCGGAAGAUGUAACGGGGCUAAACCAUGCACCGAAGCUGCGGCAGCGACACUAUGUGUUGUUGGGUAGGGGAGCGUUCUGUAAGCCUGCGAAGGUGACCUGUGAGGGUUGCUGGAGGUAUCAGAAGUGCGAAUGCUGACAUAAGUAACGAUAAAGCGGGUGAAAAGCCCGCUCGCCGGAAGACCAAGGGUUCCUGUCCAACGUUAAUCGGGGCAGGGUGAGUCGACCCCUAAGGCGAGGCCGAAAGGCGUAGUCGAUGGGAAACAGGUUAAUAUUCCUGUACUUGGUGUUACUGCGAAGGGGGGACGGAGAAGGCUAUGUUAGCCGGGCGACGGUUGUCCCGGUUUAAGCAUGUAGGCUGAUUGUCCAGGCAAAUCCGGAUAAUCAAGGCUGAGGUGUGAUGACGAGGCACUACGGUGCUGAAGUAACAAAUGCCCUGCUUCCAGGAAAAGCCUCUAAGCAUCAGGUAACAUUAAAUCGUACCCCAAACCGACACAGGUGGUCAGGUAGAGAAUACCAAGGCGCUUGAGAGAACUCGGGUGAAGGAACUAGGCAAAAUGGUGCCGUAACUUCGGGAGAAGGCACGCUGGUGUGUAGGUGAAGCCCCUGCGGGUGGAGCUGAGACCAGUCGAAGAUACCAGCUGGCUGCAACUGUUUAUUAAAAACACAGCACUGUGCAAACACGAAAGUGGACGUAUACGGUGUGACGCCUGCCCGGUGCCGGAAGGUUAAUUGAUGGGGUUAUCCGUAAGGAGAAGCUCUUGAUCGAAGCCCCGGUAAACGGCGGCCGUAACUAUAACGGUCCUAAGGUAGCGAAAUUCCUUGUCGGGUAAGUUCCGACCUGCACGAAUGGCGUAAUGAUGGCCAGGCUGUCUCCACCCGAGACUCAGUGAAAUUGAACUCGCUGUGAAGAUGCAGUGUACCCGCGGCAAGACGGAAAGACCCCGUGAACCUUUACUAUAGCUUGACACUGAACAUUGAGCCUUGAUGUGUAGGAUAGGUGGGAGGCUUUGAAGCGUGGACGCCAGUCUGCGUGGAGCCAACCUUGAAAUACCACCCUUUAAUGUUUGAUGUUCUAACGUUGGCCCCUGACCGGGGUUGCGGACAGUGUCUGGUGGGUAGUUUGACUGGGGCGGUCUCCUCCCAAAGCGUAACGGAGGAGCACGAAGGUUAGCUAAUCCUGGUCGGACAUCAGGAGGUUAGUGCAAUGGCAUAAGCUAGCUUGACUGCGAGCGUGACGGCGCGAGCAGGUGCGAAAGCAGGUCAUAGUGAUCCGGUGGUUCUGAAUGGAAGGGCCAUCGCUCAACGGAUAAAAGGUACUCCGGGGAUAACAGGCUGAUACCGCCCAAGAGUUCAUAUCGACGGCGGUGUUUGGCACCUCGAUGUCGGCUCAUCACAUCCUGGGGCUGAAGUAGGUCCCAAGGGUAUGGCUGUUCGCCAUUUAAAGUGGUACGCGAGCUGGGUUUAGAACGUCGUGAGACAGUUCGGUCCCUAUCUGCCGUGGGCGCUGGAGAAUUGAGGGGGGCUGCUCCUAGUACGAGAGGACCGGAGUGGACGCAUCACUGGUGUUCGGGUUGUCAUGCCAAUGGCACUGCCCGGUAGCUAAAUGCGGAAGAGAUAAGUGCUGAAAGCAUCUAAGCACGAAACUUGCCCCGAGAUGAGUUCUCCCUGAGACUUUAAGUCUCCUGAAGGAACGUUAAAGACGAUGACGUUGAUAGGCCGGGUGUGUAAGCGCAGCGAUGCGUUGAGCUAACCGGUACUAAUGAACCGUGAGGCUUAACCUU
rnacentral:rRNA from 1 species